UCCGAGACCCAUCUUUCCAUUGUCCUGGCUCUUAACCAAGGAUGAAGCAGCUUUGUAUAUACAAAAAUAUGUCCGUGGCUGGUUAGUUAGAAAGUGCGAUAAUGUACAAGAAAUGAGACAAUUUUGGAAGGCUCUUGCAGAGGAGAAAGCAGAUAUUACUAAGAAUUUCAUGGACGAAGAUUUAGGAUCAAAGGAGAAACCGAAAAUGGAAGGGCAAAUUGACGAUAUGUGUGAAUUUUAUAAAUUACUAGGAAAGUAUAAGAAAAC